UGCCAGCAGCCGCGGUAAUACGAAGGUGGCGAGCGUUGUUCGGAUUUACUGGGCGUAAAGAGCACGUAGGCGGUUAGGUAAGCCUCUUGGGAAAUCUCCCGGCUCAACCGGGAAAGUUCGAGGGGAACUACUUAGCUAGAGGACGGGAGAGGAGCGCGGAAUUCCCGGUGUAGCGGUGAAAUGCGUAGAUAUCGGGAAGAAGGUCGGUGGCGAAGGCGGCGCUCUGGACCGAUACUGACGCUGAGACGCGAAAGCGUGGGGAGCAAACAGGAUUAGAUA
rnacentral:rRNA from 1 species